rnacentral:tRNA from 1 species
GGCGGGGUAGCCAAGUGGUAAGGCAGGGGACUGCAAAUCCCUUAUGCGCGGGUUCGAUCUCCCGCCCCCGCCU